rnacentral:rRNA from 1 species
UACGGGGGGGGCAAGCGUUGUUCGGAAUUACUGGGCGUAAAGGGCGCGUAGGCGGCCUACUAAGUCGGACGUGAAAUCUCUCGGCUCAACCGAGAAACGUCGGCUGAUACUGCCGUUCUGAGGGAUGCAGAGGAGACUGGAAUUCCCGGUGUAGAGGUGAAAUUCGUAGAUAUUCGGAAGAACACCAGUGGCGAAGGCGGCUCGCUGGUCCGGUACUGACGCUGAGGUGCGAAAGCGUGGGGAGCAAACAGG